GGUGUUUGCUUCCUCGGGUUGGUUCCGGUAACGUCGCGUUUGUGAGGAACCGUUCGACUACGUCCGUUUGUUCUUCUUCAUGGACUCGUUCUUCUUCCUUGCGGGAUUUCAGCUUGCAGGUGCCGAUGAUGCCAUUCCAGGUGACGCAACCAAGCUCAAGGAGGAGCUCGAUGAAGACCUUGUCCUUUGUGUUGUUUCGUUCUAGUUGAUCAGUAGUGAAGCCCAGUUGGGGUCGAUCGGGGACCUUGUCGCUUUUGCGGUUCUUCUUUUAUUUUGGUUCCGUAGUCGGACCUUGAUUGUAUCUGGUUGAUGUAAUGUUUUAUUUAUGUAAUUGUGUGAAGUGGUGAUUGUAAGCCAACUAUGUAUCCUUUUCUCUUAUGUAUU
rnacentral:rRNA from 1 species